GACGAACGCUGGCGGCGUGCUUUACACAUGCAAGUCGAGCGAUGAGAUCCCUUCGGGGAAGGAUUAGCGGCGAACGGGUGAGGAACACGUGAGGAAUCUGCCUUCAACACUGGGAUAACUCCGGGAAACCGGGGCUAAUACCGGAUACGAGACCUGCAGGCAUCUGCGGGUCUGGAAAGUUUUUCGGUUGAAGAUGACCUCGCGGCCUAUCAGCUUGUUGGUGAGGUAAUGGCUCACCAAGGCGACGACGGGUAGCCGGCCUGAGAGGGCGACCGGCCACACUGGGACUGAGACACGGCCCAGACUCCUACGGGAGGCAGCAGUGGGGAAUAUUGGGCAAUGGAGGGAACUCUGACCCAGCGACGCCGCGUGCGGGAUGAAGGCCUUCGGGUUGUAAACCGCUUUCAGCAAGGAAGAAGCGAAAGUGACGGUACUUGCAGAAGAAGCACCGGCUAACUAUGUGCCAGCAGCCGCGGUAAUACAUAGGGUGCAAGCGUUGUCCGGAAUUAUUGGGCGUAAAGAGCUCGUAGGUGGUUCGUCACGUCGGAUGUGAAAAUCUGGGGCUUAACCCCAGACCUGCAUUCGAUACGGGCGAGCUAGAGUGUGGUAGGGGAGACUGGAAUUCCUGGUGUAGCGGUGGAAUGCGCAGAUAUCAGGAGGAACACCAAUGGCGAAGGCAGGUCUCUGGGCCAUUACUGACACUGAGGAGCGAAAGCGUGGGGAGCGAACAGGAUUAGAUACCCUGGUAGUCCACGCCGUAAACGGUGGGCACUAGUUGUGGGAACCUUCCACGGUUUCUGCGACGCAGCUAACGCAUUAAGUGCCCCGCCUGGGGAGUACGAUCGCAAGAUUAAAACUCAAAGGAAUUGACGGGGCCCCGC
rnacentral:rRNA from 1 species